UACGGGGGGGGCAAGCGUUGUUCGGAGUUACUGGGCGUAAAGCGUGCGUAGGCGGUGGUCCAAGUCUGGUGUGAAAUCUCCCGGCUCAACUGGGAGGGUGCGCCGGAAACUGGGCCGCUGGAGUACGGGAGAGGCAAGCGGAAUUCCAGGUGUAGCGGUGAAAUGCGUAGAUAUCUGGAGGAACACCCGUGGUGCAGACGGCUUGCUGGACCGUGACUGACGCUGAGGCACGAAAGCGUGGGUAGCAAACAGG
rnacentral:rRNA from 1 species